UCCCUAACCCUUCUGUGAACCUACCUAUCGUUGCUUCGGCGGACUCGCCCCAGCCCGGACGCGGACUGGACCAGCGGCCCGCCGGGGACCUCAAACUCUUGUAUUCCAGCAUCUUCUGAAUACGCCGCAAGGCAAAACAAAUGAAUCAAAACUUUCAACAACGGAUCUCUUGGCUCUGGCAUCGAUGAAGAACGCAGCGAAACGCGAUAAGUAAUGUGAAUUGCAGAAUCCAGUGAAUCAUCGAAUCUUUGAACGCACAUUGCGCCCGCCAGCAUUCUGGCGGGCAUGCCUGUUCGAGCGUCAUUUCAACCCUCGACCUCCCCUUGGGGAGGUCGGCGUUGGGGACCGGCAGCACACCGCCGGCCCUGAAAUGGAGUGGCGGCCCGUCCGCGGCGACCUCUGCGCAGUAAUACAGCUCGCACCGGGACCCCGACGCGGCCACGCCGUAAAACACCCAACUUCUGAACGUUGACCUCGAAUCAGGUAGGACUACCCGCUGAACUUAAGCAUAU
rnacentral:rRNA from 1 species